ensembl:lncRNA
UUUUUUUUUUUUUUUUUUUUCCACCUUAACUGUGAAUGUACACUGUUGCCACUGAUAUAAUACAUUGUUAAAAGAGUUUUUAAGACUGCUCUGUUCCAUGGCUUUCAUCAAGGCACUGGUGCAUAUCCUCUGCUCACCUUUGAUUAGUUUCCCUGAUCAUACCAUGACAAAUCUGCAAAUCAGUGUGCUUCCCGCAUGGAUCUACAGAUUUCUGUCUGGCAAUUCCUCAACUAAUCAACCACACAAAUAAGAUUUUCACUUGGAGAGGAGAUAAAGAAUCAAGCCUUGCUUUUAAUUACUUUAACCUAUAAACAAUUUGUUACAAGAGUCUACAGAUGGAGUUAUGAUUGUAUCUUAAUCAAACAUGAGUCCAAAAUUUUACUGCACAUGCCAGCAAUGUUGAGUGAUAAUUAAACAGCUUCUACAGCAAGCACACAGUGAUCUACUUAUCUCAAUUAGACAUCAGCUUUGCUUCAAAAGAAACUCCUCUGGAAAAGCAGGUGUCCAUCUUCCUCAGGCUAAACCACCACUGAAGAUCCAGCAUGAAAACAAACAUACAGCAAGGUACUUACUUCACUUCUAGCACCUCUAGCAUGUGGUACCUCUCAGUAAUCAUCUCUCAGCCUAACUCAGGUCUCCAACACCUUAUACCACAGAACAUAUCACCCUCCAAAGCAACUUUGAAGCUGGUGUCUACUAAGGACAUAAAGUUAUAUAGAGAGCAUCCAAAGGAGGGCUACAAAGAUGGUGAAGCGUCUGGAGGGCAAGGCAUAUGAGGAGCAGCUGGAGGUCCCUGGGUUUGUUCAGCCCAGAGCAGAGCUGAGGGGAGGCCUCAUAGCUGCUGCAGGUCCUCACAGGCAGUAGAGGGGCAGCAGUGAGCUCUGCUCUCUGCAACAGGGCCUGGGGGAACAGCAUGGAGCUGCAUCAGGAGAAGGUCAGGCUGGGGGUUAGGGAAAGGUUCUUCAGUAGAGGGUGGUGGGCAUGGAACAGGCUGCCCAGGACAGUGGGCACAGCCCCAAGUGUCAGAGUCCAAGGAGCAUUUGGACAGCACUCUGAGACAUGGGGUUUGGAUUUUAAGUGUUCCUCUGUAGAGUCAGGGGUUGGACUUGAUCCUUAUGGAUCCUUUCCCACUGUGAUAUUCAAUGAUCCUAUGAUACUAUGCGUGUGCGUGCCUGUGCCUGCCCAAAGGCAGACUGAUGUCAGGCACAGCAAAGGGUCCUUCAGUCUCAGGCCCGGGGAACAGAGUACAGGCCUACGGAGGAAUUCAUCUUUUUUCCACCUUCUGGAUGCUCAGGACGAUGCUAGGAGAUAUGCAUUGCCAGACAUCUCAUUAGGGUUGGGUGCUACUCCACGCAAGCCCACACUAAGCCAGUAAGUUAAGACAGCACCUACAGGGUAUUGGCGCUUUCCUCAUUAGACCAGGUUUUAAAUCACUUCUAUCUCCAGAACAUACUUUGAUGGAGUAACUGACAAUGUUCAAAUGGUUAUUAAUACUAUCAAGAGCCUGAAUAACUUCUCGUGUACUGGUUGGCUGCUGUAGCAGAAUUCAGCUACAACACAAAUGCAGAAAGAAUCAAACUUGUUACUGUGAUUCACCGAGUCAUUGCAGGUUGUAAAGAACAUAUGGCACUUGUGAGCUUUCCACGAUAUCUUUGAUUUUUUAAUUAGAUUCCUGUGUAAGUCAGCCUGCUGGCCUACAACCGUAGACCCCAGGUUACAAAGCAACUUCAGGUAUCCCACUGCUCUGUCUGAUAGAAACCACUACGUCAAGAAACCGCUGCAGGCACUGCUUCUGCUGCUUCCACCCCAGGAACUGGUCAGUAGGUAAUUAACACUGCAGAAUUAAAGGGAUAGUCCAAAAAAUGCAGCUACGCCUUAACCAAAAUGCAAAUUAAUGCUUUAAUGCACUACACUGCUUUGUAAUUUUAGGAUGCUUUUGGUAUCUUUAUCAUUAGGAAACUGUAUGCCGUAAUUUUCUCUUCCAUGUCAUCACGUGGUUCUUAAAUUCACCUUCUGCCACUGACAAACUUGCUCUAGGUCUCCUCUGAUAUUUGGAAAGAUGCAGAUGAUCACAGGCAAAAUGAAACAAAGUUAACAAAUCUGUUAACAAAUCUGAAUAAUUUGCAAGGCAACGAAAAGCGCAUCUGCAUCAUGGCACUGGAAGGUGGCAAAAAGCAUCAACAGGAUCAGAUGGUUGUGGCACCCAAUCUCCCAACAAGACUCUAGUCUUGGUAAAUUUUAGAAUCAGGACCAGUAUUCUCCUUUUCAUAGUACAAACAAAAAUUUUCUUUUGCUGUUAUUUGUUUGUUUGUUUUUUAGAAAGAACCCCCAGCAGGUUGACUUCCACGGUGAAUUAUGACUUUUCAUGAAUGCUGCAGUGUACAAAAUCUCAGUGACACUUGUAACCUGAGGCAGAAAAGCAUGGCACAAUACAGUGGAACAAUACACUGGUUACAUUAAUCACAAUGGCAUAGCAUCACAGCUGUCCUUUUUUCAAAGUCAAUUUAAAUCUGGUUGUUCUGGGGUUGUUUACACUAUUUUUUCUUUCUUUCUUUCUUUAUUUUUGAGGAGGGAAGACCUCAAAAUUCAGAAGAGCUUCCAGGCUGUUGUAAUCAUGUUCAAAAUACCAUUCACAGCUCUUGCACAUCCACCCUGAUUCUAUAAUAUUUCCUGAAUUUAUGAGCUAAUUUUAAAAAUAACCUCUUUUACAAAAGAAUAAGUCAAAUACUUUACAAAUCAAACAACAGCAAACAUAGAGCUCAUGCAUUCAGUGGCAUGAGCGCCCUAAGUUCUUUUCAAGUUGCAGGACUCUUAAGUCAUUGAAAACUGUAACAAAGCUCCAAUACAAAACUGAUUUUAAAAGCAAUUAGAGUUAUAAAAUAACAACGUAUUUUCUUUAAAACAUUUGAAUAUCAUAUAAUAAUCAGUGCUAAAAGUCACCUGCUUGGUGUGCAUCGGUUGAGGAUUGGAGUUCACUUGCUUAUUCAGCACCAAUUUUCCUUAAAGUAGUUUGUCAGGAGAGAAAAGCAACCCUACUGCAGCACAGGAAGGGUCACAAUGCUUCCCACACUGCACCCUUUCCCAGUGGAUGUGCUGAAGAUGGUGUUACACAAACUCCUGGGGAAUGAAGAUGAACUGGAUGCAUUCGUAUUCAGCCCUGCUUCCUAUGACUUUGUAAUGUGCAGAAAUGCCCAUGGGCAUGAACUUCUCAAAAGUUGACUUUAUUAGGGCUACGCAGUUGGCUACUGCUACAAAGCUCAAACACACCUAGGUUUUGUGUUAAUUAGUAGCGUACAUAGCAUAGUACAUAGUGUGACACUGAGGAAACACUUUUUCCAAGUGAUAAUAGCAAGCAACACUAAGGAAUUCAAAAUAUAGAAAAGUUGAAUGAAUGUUCUCCCAUCACCAUUUUAUAAAACACUAUGAUUAAGCAUCUAAAACAACCCCUUGCUUCACAUGACAAAUCAAAGGGGGUGAAGGAAACCUGCCCUCUCAAAAGCACAGUUGCACCAGGUCUUUCAAACCCACACCAAAUCUCUCUCAUAUGUCAUGCAUAAGAUCUGUGAGUAGGGCAGAAAGACAUCUGAUAAUUAGCAGAACUAAAAUAUAACACUGCUCUGUGCUUUGAGGAGAGAGAGAGAAAUCAGAAAUAGGGUAUCUCUUCGUUGGCAGUUUUCUGUCUAAUUCUGGAACAACACAGACUGCACCAGAAACUGCUCAUCCACUCCAUCUCAUCUGAUAGACAAGCAUUUACCACAUCAUAACACUCUAAAUAGCUGGGCAGGAAAAAGCCUAAACUCCUCCCUCUCCCUCCUUAAGUUAAGUAUAGAAAACUGCAUCUAUGCUAUUUACAGAUUUGAAGCCUUGUCUGUACAGAAGUUUUGUAAAUAUAGCCAAUUUCAAAGUCAAAGUCAUUAAGAAUUGGAUCAGUGCCUUGAGAGAAACAGCUCGGAUGACCUCCAUUUUCCUUCCUCAGCACAAGUGUUCAAUACUUGUUGAUUCUAAACCUUCAAAGGCACCCAGCCAAUAUGAAAUCUAAGACUCGGGGACUAACGCAGAAUUUAACCUGGCUUAAUCUGGACCUUGGCCUAUAACUUUCUCAUAAACCAGUUUAUUCAUUCAAAAAUAAGCAAACCAACAAAAUAUAAACAAACCAACCUUGCAUAAUUAUUUGCUCUCUGCAUGCCUUUCUUCUCACUGCAUCCUGGAGCAGAAGCACAAGGGUGGGAUGUAUUCCUAACACUGCCCUUGUUGCUCCAUGAACUGAAGAAUUUUU